GGACCAGCUCCCUGUGGACAUGCCAGAGGAGAAUGCUUCCAUCCCACCCAGUGCUAAAAGCCCCAGGGCCAGGGCUGGGGAUUAAUACGCGGGACAUAGGCAAAAGGAAAAUUAGGUCUUUGGCCUCAUCUUUAGGCCCAGCGGGAGGUGAGAAGGAUAUGUGUGGCUCCCACUCCAGUCCCCAACCCCAGUAUUCUGAAAUUCCACCUCAGAGUUUUCCAGCUGUCGUUCACAUUGGCUGGUCUUCAACUUGUGAUCCUCCUGCUUCAGCCUACCAGAGUGCUGGAAUUACAGGCAUGCAGCAGGGUGAGAAUGCCUUUGCAGAUGCUGUUCCCUCACCUGGAACACUGCCUCCUCCACUUUAUCCAGCUCAUUUCCUGACAUCCUUCAGCUCUCAGCCCAGACAUCUCCAGGGGACCUCCCUAGCUCCCUCCCCAUAAUGCUGGGUUAAAGUUUAUUUUCCCAACACUCAAAAG